UACGUAGGGGGCAAGCGUUGUCCGGAUUUACUGGGCAUAAAGAGCGCGCAGGCGGUCGGGUAAGUCGAAUGUGAAAGCCCCCGGCUUAACUGGGGAGGGUCAUUCGAUACUGUUCGACUCGAAGGCAGGAGAGGGAAGUGGAAUUCCCGGUGUAGUGGUGAAAUGCGUAGAUAUCGGGAGGAACACCAGUGGCGAAGGCGACUUCCUGGCCUGUUCUUGACGCUGAGGCGCGAAAGCUAGGGGAGCAAACGGG
rnacentral:rRNA from 1 species